rnacentral:rRNA from 1 species
UACGUAGGCAGCGAGCGUUGUUCGGAGUUACUGGGCGUAAAGGGUGUGUAGGCGGUGGUUUAAGUUUGGUGUGAAAUCUCCCGGCUCAACUGGGAGGGUGCGCCGAAUACUGAAUGACUUGGAGUGCGGGAGAGGAAAGUGGAAUUCCUGGUGUAGCGGUGAAAAUGCGUAGAUAUCGGGAGGAACACCAGUGGCGAAGGCGGCUUCCUGGCCUGUUCUUGACGCUGAGGCGCGAAAGCUAGGGGAGCAAACGGGG